rnacentral:rRNA from 1 species
GAUGAACGCUGGCGGCGUGCUUAACACAUGCAAGUCGAACGAUGAAGCCCAGCCUGCUGGGCGGAUUAGUGGCGAACGGGUGAGUAACACGUGAGUAACCUGCCCUUGACUCUGGGAUAAGCCCGGGAAACUGGGUCUAAUACCGGAUAGGAGCGCCUGUCGCAUGACGGGUGCUGGAAAGAUUUUUCGGUCAUGGAUGGACUCGCGGCCUAUCAGCUUGUUGGUGAGGUAACGGCUCACCAAGGCGACGACGGGUAGCCGGCCUGAGAGGGUGACCGGCCACACUGGGACUGAGACACGGCCCAGACUCCUACGGGAGGCAGCAGUGGGGAAUAUUGCACAAUGGGCGGAAGCCUGAUGCAGCGACGCCGCGUGAGGGAUGACGGCCUUCGGGUUGUAAACCUCUUUCAGUAGGGAAGAAGCGAAAGUGACGUA